rnacentral:sRNA from 12 species
CAAGCCCUGCCUGUCCGAAGUCUGACGUUAUGCGUCAGAUACUCAUGUAGGCCAGGUGGGGUUCU